rnacentral:lncRNA from 1 species
AGAGGAGACCCAGCAGAUUCCUCUGACUCUAUCCUCAGAACGGUGCGGAAUGAACCCCACCCCGUGAAUGAACCCCAGGAGAGACAUUAAGGAGAUGGAUUUUAUUGAUGUCUAGCAGCAAACAUUCCUAUGUCCCAAGGAAGGAUGAGGUUCUGUGCCAGGUUAGGAUAAGAUUACUGAAACGGUUGAGAGAGAAAGAGCUCUUUCCGCUGAGAAGCAUCAGCCUAGAGCUGUGAGCGGGGCUGGGGUGCCGGGCUGGCCAUCUCUGCUCUUGCACAUGGUGAAAACAUCUUUCACUCGGAGUUGGCAGUUCUGCCCUCUCUGCCAACAGAAACUUGGAAGGAGCCGCCCGCGCCUUUCUGCUUCCCGUUCACCCUCCCAGCAGGCCUGAUUAAUGUCCAUUUUAAGCCAGGACGUUUAUUCUGGCUGUGGAGCCUGUGAACGCAGGGCGCUGUGGAGCCCAGCUUCCCCUUGUUUGUUUUGUGCAGGGAUGGCCAUUGGGAGAGAAAAGUCAGGUUGGGAGGCUCUGCUGCACGUCCCCUCUUUGAAAAUCAGAUGACUUCCAAGCAAGGGCAAGGAUGAUCGUGUGUCCUGAGAGACUGCAAUUCUCUGAGCCUCACCUUCUCAUCUGAGGCAAGGUAGCCAUUGUCCCUUCCUCAUAGGGCAGCUAGGAGGAGGGGAUAAAUUCACAUCUACAAAGCACUGAGCACACACGAACAUGGUAAGAGAAGCUGUUCUGGGCAGGAUAGUGUCCCUCCAAAAAUUCAUGCCUCCCCAGAACCUCAGAAUGUAGCCUUAUGUGGAAAUGCAAAUGUAAUUAGGUCAGCUGACAUCAUAAUGGAUGAGGGUGGGUCCUAAAUUCAGUGACUGGCACCCUUAGAGAGGAAAGGGGUGCAAAGCUGUAAGGACACACAGAAGAGGAGCCACUUGGCCAUGAGUCAGACUGGAGUUUCGCUGCCAAAAGCCAAGGAGCUCGGAGGAUUCCUGGGUGGCGUGGAAUGGAUUUUUCUCUUGCAGCCCCCAGAAGGAGCCCUCUCUGCCAUCACCUUGAUGUUGGACUUCUGACCUCCAGAAUUAUGUUAGCUCCAAUCCACCCAACAACUGAUGAAGUUGACGCCGUCAUCACUUCUGUUUUACAAAUGGAGAAACCGAGGCCCUGGUGCUCAGCUGCCCAAGUGCACCCAGGUAAGUGGCAGACCUGGACUUCUUAAAUCCUUGUCUUUCUGUUUCCAAAAU